rnacentral:rRNA from 1 species
UGUGGGUAGGGGUGAAAGGCCAAUCAAACUCCGUGAUAGCUGGUUCUCCCCGAAAUGCAUUUAGGUGCAGCGUCGCAUUGUGUGCUUGUUGGAGGUAGAGCUACUGGUUGGUUGAGCGGGACGAUAAUCUUAGCAACAUCAGCUAAACUCCGAAUGCCAGCAAUGUGGGUGCGGCAGUGAGACUGCGGGGGAUAAGCUCCGUUGGUCGAGAGGGAAACAGCCCAGAUCGUCGGUUAAGGCCCCUAAGGGUGUGCUCAGUGGGAAAGGAUGUGGGAUCGCGAAGACAGCCAGGAGGUUGGCUUAGAAGCAGCCAUCCUUGAAAGAGUGCGUAAUAGCUCACUGGUCGAGUGGUUCUGCGCCGAUAAUGUAGCGGGGCUUAAGUACACCGCCGAAACCGCGGCAACACACUUGGUGUGUUGGGUAGGGGAGCGUCGUGCAUGUGUUGAAGCUAUUUGGUGACAGGUGGUGGAGUGUGUGCGAGUGAGAAUGCAGGCAUGAGUAACGAUUGAUGUGUGAGAAACAUAUCCGCCGGAUGACUAAGGGUUCCUGGGUGAAGUUUGUCUUCCCAGGGUGAGUCGGGGCCUAAGGCGAGGCCGACAGGCGUAGUCGAUGGAGAACGGGUUGAUAUUCCCGUACCCGUGUGCGUGCGACAAGUGAUGAAUCUUAUGGUACUAACCGCCCGCUUGUUUCCGCUGAUCUUUUUGGUUGGUGGUUUCAGGUGCGUGGGAUCUUCGUGGGUAGUAGUCAAGUGAUGGGGUGACGCAGAGUGGUAGCUAGGCUUCCUUAUUGGAUUGGAGUGCAAGCGUGUGGCCUGUGGGGUUGGGAAAUCCGCCCCGCAUUAAGGGUGAGGCGUGAUGCGGACACCAUGUUGUGGUGGUAGUUAGUGUGCCUGUGCUGUCUAGAAAAGCCUCUAGCGAGUGCGUGCAUGGCCCGUACCGGAAACCGACACAGGUGGUCAGGUAGAGAAUACUAAGGCGUUCGGGUGAACUGUGGUUAAGGAACUCGGCAAAAUGCCCCCGUAACUUCGGGAGAAGGGGGACCAUUACUGGUUGCUGACAGCAUGAUGGCUGGUGGUGGUCGCAGAGGAGAGAGGGAAGCGACUGUUUAUUAAAAACACAGGUCCGUGCGAAAACGUGGAAGUUGAGGUAUACGGACUGACGCCUGCCCGGUGCUGGAAGGUUAAGAGGACCCGUGAGUGCAUCUUUUUGGUGUGCGAGGCGGAGAAUUGAAGCCCCAGUAAACGGCGGUGGUAACUAUAACCAUCCUAAGGUAGCGAAAUUCCUUGUCGGGUAAGUUCCGACCUGCACGAAUGGCGUAACGACUUCCCUGCUGUCUCAACCACAGGCCCGGUGAAAUUGCAGUACGAGUAAAGAUGCUCGUUUCGCGCGGCAGGACGAAAAGACCCCGGGACCUUUACUAUAGCUUGGUAUUGGUGUUUGGUCAUGCUUGUGUAGGAUAGGUGGGAGACUGUGAAGCCGUGACGCUAGUUGUGGUGGAGUCGGCCAGUGAAAUACCACUCUGGUGUGAUUGGGUACCUGAACCUUGGCCCGUGAUCCGGGUUGGGGACAGUGCCUGGUGGGUAGUUUAACUGGGGCGGUUGCCUCCUAAAUGGUAACGGAGGCGCCCAAAGGUUUCCUCAGUCUGGUUGGCAAUCAGAUGGUGAGUGUAAGUGUAUAAGGGAGCUUGACUGUGACACUGACGGGUGGAGCAGGUGCGAAAGCAGGGACUAGUGAUCCGGCACCGACGUGUGGUUGUGGUGUCGCUCAACGGAUAAAAGGUACCCCGGGGAUAACAGGCUGAUCUUCCCCAAGAGUUCAUAUCGACGGGAUGGUUUGGCACCUCGAUGUCGGCUCGUCGCAUCCUGGGGCUGGAGUAGGUCCCAAGGGUUGGGCUGUUCGCCCAUUAAAGCGGCACGCGAGCUGGGUUUAGAACGUCGUGAGACAGUUCGGUCUCUAUCCGCCGCGCGCGUUGAAACUUGAAGAAGGCUGUCCCUAGUACGAGAGGACCGGGAUGGACGUACCUCUGGUAUGCCAGUUGUCACGCCAGUGGCAUGGCUGGUUAGCUACGUGCGGGAGGGAUAACCGCUGAAAGCAUCUAAGCGGGAAGCCUGUUUUGAGAUGAGGUUUCUGUUGAGGUUCCCUAUGGAUGAUGGGGUUGAUAGGCCAGGGCUGUGAGCAUGGUGACGUGUUGUAAGGUGACUGGUACUAAUACACCGACACAAAAAAACA